GCCGACGUAGCUCAGUUAGCAGAGCACGUCAUUGGUAAUGACGAGGUCCGCAGUGCAAAUCUGCGCGUCGGCU
rnacentral:tRNA from 1 species